rnacentral:lncRNA from 1 species
UUCAGAUUAAGCAAAAUACAAUUUAUUCCACUGAAUAGAAAACGUUGCCUUCCAUAUCUGUCUUUGAAUUUGUAGUCGUUCCGAUUAUAAUUUGAGUUCUCAAACAUUUGAAUUACACAGUCUCUUGGUUCACUCCGACAGGUGUUUAAACAGGUGUGCGUAGGUCUUUCUACUUCAGCUCUCAGAGCCGGUCUUGUUUGCAGGUUAGUGGGUGGCGCACCUCGCGGUUGCUCCCACCCCACCCUUAGUAACAGGGUUUGAGUAGGACCCUGGGGUGGGGGAGUGGAUGCUGCUGUUUCAAGCUCGUUCGCCCAAAUACAUCUUUCUACCCACCUUCCCUAUCGUCAGAGAGGUGGCCUGACCCCAGCACGUGCAAGCUUGUCAGGCUGGGUAAGUUCCAGAACCUUCUGGAGCCAGGAUUCUCUUUCCCAGCCCUGGGCCCUGAGCUCGGCGGAUGGGAUCUGCGAGGCUCGGGGCGCAGGGGAAAUGGGGGCGUGUUCCUUUAAGGCGGAACCAGGCGGGGAGUGGGACGUCCCCCGCGGGCACAGCCCGAGCCGCACCUGGGGCCCAAUUAGCCUGGAGCGCGGCCGGGUGUGUUGAACGUAGCAACCGCGGGCGGCGGGCGGCGGGCGGCGGGCGUCUGGGGCGGGCGGCGGCCGCGCUUCCCGGGGCUCCUGGCCCUUCGGCCCUCGGGGGUCUCACGGCGCUGGGACGAGGCGGGGCUGCUCUCCGCAGCCGGGGCGCUCGGCGGACGGACCCGGGCCGGGGAAGGGCGACCCCAGCGGCGCGGAGCUGAGCGUCCUCGGGGAGGAGAGGGAGCCAGGGGCCUCCGGGGCUCCGGGUGCGGGGACCUCAGGCUCCUCGCCCCGGCCCGGGCCGCCUCGGCCGGAUCUCCGCGGUCUGAACUCUCGGGCGGCGGCGAGGACGGCGUGUCCACUGUCGAGGCAUGAAGGCUGCUGUGCUGGACCUUGGGUCUCUCUUGGCCAAACUCUUCGAGACCUCGACGGCGCCCCCCGCAGGCCCCUCCUCCAGACCCUCGGGAGGUGCUGCCGCUGCAGGGUCGGGGGGCUCCAGGGCGGGCACCCCGUUGGGUACCGCCCCGACCCUCCUCCGCGCCCUGGCUCCGGACUCCCCCUCCGCCUCGCGGCGGUCGCCCGCCCCGCUGCUCUCCUCCCCCUACUCCCGGGGCUCCGCCGCCAGCCGCGCCGCGGGAGCAGUGGGGACCCUGCUCUCUUGGCCCAGUAGCCCUAGAGCGGGUAAAGCCCCGCCCCAGCCCCCCACUCCCUCCGGCGGGGGCUGCUCCCCUGCUCGCCUGGUGGUCCCAGCGCGGCCGCCCUCGGGCCCCGGCGGGGUCUGGGCCGCGCUCCCCAGGAACCCGCUCCAGCCUGGCCCCGGAGAGCGAGAGCUCGGCGCCUGCGUGGCCCCCGGGGCUGGCCCCAGAACCCUGUUCCUUACGCUGCCUGACAUCGGCGAGGAGGGGGCCUCGGACGGCGACUCCGGGGAUGGCGAAGCGUGAGUAGCAGCGUGGUCCGGGCGCGUGUACCUUUUGCCGGGACCCCCGACCCCUCCGCCUGCCGCACUCACCUUCGCAGGUGCACUUCAGGAAAUGAAAUAUUUGUAGUAACUUUCAUAACCCCCUGGGCACCCUCCUUGCACGUUUCCUGGGUUUUUACUCCUUGGCUUUGCGGGCUUUCAGACAUAAGCUGUGACAUGCUUUGUCCAGCUUUCUCAGAGUGAAUCCUAAGGGGCCUUGAAGGAAGGGACAGAAUUUUGUUUCUCUUCUACCAGAAGCAUUGCUACUUAGAGUGUUUGUUUGGUUUUCUUAAGGACUUUUUGAAGUCCCUUUCUUUGUCUCAGAAUAUAGCAGGUGUGCAGGGAAACCGAAUACACACGUCUGCAGCAAGUGUUUUAAGAAGUGGUGAGACCUGGUGCUUUCCUAAUGUCUAAGGACCAGUCCCUAGUCUUAUCCUAAGUGGGAUGGGUCUCCUUUGUGUGACAUCUAGUUAAUUUACAUAUGCAUGACAUCAUCUGACACAAAUGGAGUUGUAAUGGCCAGGACACGUCUGAUUAUUACCCUAGAGCUCCUGAGAGCUUUCCACAGUGCCCUGAGUCACUGCAGAAACGUUGACUUCAUGGGAACAUUUUCACUGGGAAUCGGAGGCCGAUUCCCUCAACACACACACACCCACACAACACCCCUUUCACUUCCAAGAGUCGUGAUAAAAACAUUGCUCUUUUAAAAUGUGUUUUAGAACUAGGAUGAAUUUUAAUUUUUAGAGUGGAGCAUAUCGUUAGCUAUUCUUGAGUGGGUAAAUUUUCAUCCUGAAUGCUGCAAAGAAAUAGUGAAAUGGUCAAAGACAGAUGAGCCAAUUCACAGACUGAGGUUUCUGCAUUGUAAUCUAGUGAGGCCAUUCCCUACUCCCUCCAAAAAAUCCUGAGUAAUUUUUGCAUUCAUACUGAUCCUGACUCACUCACAAUUUAAAUAAUUACAGUUUCACAAAAUUGAAUGAUAUUCAUGUCAAUAUGAAAACAAGCGGCCGGGCACGGUGGCUCACGCCUGUAAUCCCAGCACUUUGGGAGGCCGAGGCGGGCGGAUCAUGAGGUCAGGAGAUCGAGACCAUCCUGGCUAACACGAUGAAACCCCGUCUCUACUAAAAAUACAAAAAAUUAGCCGGGCGUGGUGGUACGUGCCUGUAGUCCCAGCUACUCGGAAGGCUGAGGCAAGAGGAUGAUGGCGUGAACCCGGGAGGCGGAGCUUGCAGUGAGCCAAGAUCGCACCAUUGCGCUCCAACCUGGGCGACAGAGAGAGAGACUCCGUCUCAAAAAAACAACAACAAAAAAGAAAAUAAGCAGUUAAGCAAAAAGUUGUUCCCACUCAUUAAAAAAUACUAUAUUAUGACAUAUGUUUAUCAACUGAUAGUUUUCCCUAUCAGUUAAUUGCUUUUGGAAAACUCACUGGAAUACAUAUGCCUGAGGAAUUAGAUCUUUGUUAUUGGCAACUGGUCCUUAACAUUUAUGCAAUUAAUGUUUUAUGAGCAAACAGAUCUACACACUGACCUUAAACUCUAGUCUUAGUGCUUUUAACAAAUAGGCACUGAAAUAUGCAGCAUGGCCAGUGAAACUGGUGUUAGUUUCAAUUCUUGAACAUAUUAGCUCAUGUUUAUAUUGUGCAAAUAUUUGGAAUAGAUACUUUUUGAAUAACACUGCAUUUGGCAUUAUUUACAUAAGAGAUUAUUCUGAAUUAACAAAUGCAUUCAAUUUUAUGGACAGUGAAGAAAUUGAAUUUUUAAAUUAUUAUUACUUUUUGAGAUGAGGUCUCCUUCUGUCACCCAGGUUGGAGUGCAGUGGUAUGAUCACUGUUCAUUGCAGCCUCAACCUCCCAGGCUCAAGCGAUCUGAUUCUCCCGUCUCAGACUCUCGAGUAGCUGGGACUACAGGUGUGAGCUACUAUGCCUGGCCAAUUUUAAAAAUGUUUCUGUGGAGACGGGGUCUCCCUAUGUUGCCCAGGCUGGUCUUGAACUCCUGGCCUCAAGCAAUCUUCCCACCUGGGCAUUGCUGGGAUUACAGGCAUGAGCCACUGCAUCUGGCCAUGAAAUUGAAUUUUAGGUAAGUGCCAUGAGAAGUAAUAUACACAGCUAGGUGCUUUGCAGAAUCCUCCUGAGUUUGUGUGUUCCUACUGUCUGCAGCAGCAGGUAGAGGCACACACAGGCAGGAAGCAGACUGGCCCUCUGAGCAUACCAUUUUUCCUUUCAGAUCCACGACUACUCACAUUCCCUUCCUCUCAUCAUACCCCACUCCUUUUUCAAUCACUAAAACAUAAGAGACAAAGGGGAAGGAAGAAAGUAUUAAGACGGCUUUUCUUUCAAUACUGCAGACUUUGCACCUUGAAGGAUUCUUUUUCCCUCCUGGAUUUCUGUGGUAGUGAUUUAUAACACCGAAUAAACAAACAUAAGACAAUGAAUUUAAAUUUGCUCCUACCAUCUCAUCUGUCACUUGGCAGAUAGCUGCUGCUGUUAGCCUGUGUGGUUAAUAUUAAAAUCAGGAAUUUAAAUUUCAAAAGCCUGGAAACUUGG